UACGUAGGGUGCAAGCGUUAAUCGGAAUUACUGGGCGGAAAGCGUGCGUAGGCGGCUAUGUAAGACAGAUGUGAAAUCCCUGGGCUUAACCUAGGAACUGCAUUUGUGACUGCAUUGCUAGAGUGUGGUAGAGGGAGAUGGAAUUCCGCGUGUAGCAGUGAAAUGCGUAGAUAUGCGGAGGAACACCAAUGGCGAAGGCAAUCUCCUGGACCUGCACUGACGCUCAUGCACGAAAGCGUGGGGAGCAAACAGG
rnacentral:rRNA from 1 species